GAAACUCGCCACCCCGUGAAAAAGACCGAAGCACCGGCUGGAUGCAGCACGACUUUUGACAAGAAAAAGAUGGACACACCUGGCCUAGACGGCACGACCCUAGACAUGAUGAACUGAGACUCAGCAACUAGAACAAGGAAAACCAGAUCCCUGCCAGCGUGACACGUAAUACAACCUAUAGAAGGUCUUCUCCUUAUAUUAUAUCUGCUAG